UACAGAGGGGGCAAGCGUUGUUCGGAAUUACUGGGCGUAAAGGGCGCGUAGGCGGCCGCCUAAGUCAGACGUGAAAUCCCUCGGCUCAACCGGGGAACUGCGUCUGAUACUGGGUGGCUUGAAUUCGGGAGAGGGAUGCGGAAUUCCAGGUGUAGCGGUGAAAUGCGCAGAUAUCAGGAAGAACCCCAAUUGCGAAGGCAGCUCGCUGGGACGUAACUGACGCUGAGACGCGAAAGCGUGGGGAGCAAACAGG
rnacentral:rRNA from 1 species